rnacentral:rRNA from 1 species
GGACGGGUGAGUAAUGUCUGGGAAACUGCCUGAUGGAGGGGGAUAACUACUGGAAACGGUAGCUAAUACCGCAUAAUGUCGCAAGACCAAAGUGGGGGACCUUCUGGCCUCAUGCCAUCACAUGUGCCCACAUGGGAUUAUCUAUUAGGUGGGGUAACGGCUCACCUAGGCGACAAUCCCUAUCUGGUCUGAGAGGAUGACCAGCCACACUGGAACUGAGACACGGUCCAGACUCCUACGGGAGGCAGCAGUGGGGAAUAUUGUACAAUGGGCGCAAGCCUGAUGCAGCCAUGCCGCGUGUGUGAAAAAAGCCUUCCGGUUGUAAAGCACUUUCUCCGGGGAGGAAGGCGGUGAGGUUAAUAACCUCAUCCAUUGACGUUACCCGCAGAAAAAACACCGGCUAACUCCGUGCCCCCACCCGCGGUAAUACAGAGGGUGCAAGCGUUAAUCGGAAUUACUGGGCGUAAAGCGCACGCACGCGGUCUGUCAAGUCUGAUGUGAAAUCCCCGGGCUCAACCUGGGAACUGCAUUCGAAACUGGCAGGCUAUUGUCUUGUAGAGGGGGGUAGAAUUCCAGGUGUAUCGGUGAAAUGCGUAUAGAUCUGGAGGAAUACCGGUGGCGAAAGCGGCCCCCUGGACACAGACUGACGCUCAGGUGCGAAAGCGUGGGGAGCAAACAGGAUAAGAUACCCUGGUAGUCCACGCCCCAACGAUGUCGAUUUGUAGGCUGUGCCCUUUUGGCGUGUGUUCCCCAUCUAACCCUUUAUUCUACACC